GCCAGCAGCCACAUCACCCUGCAACUCACAACUGGCAACUCGCUGAAGCUAAGCAGGUGUGAGCCUGGUCAGUAGCUGGAUGGGAGACCUCUUGGGAAAAACUAAGCUUGCUGCUGGAA
ensembl:rRNA 5S_rRNA 5S ribosomal RNA